rnacentral:lncRNA from 1 species
AACAAACCUGUAUGGAAAAGUGUUUACGAGUUUGAAGAUACAAUUAAAGAUUCAUACUCUGAUCAUGAGUAUGUAAAAAAUGAUGAAUCAGAUGAUAGUGUUGAAUCACCUAGGUUUGGAAUUACAUCCAAUAAUGUGAGUGAUGAAAGUGACGACGCAAAUGAAGAACAUAAACAACACAUACAGAGAAACCAAAGCGAAGAAAGUGAUAACAACAAAAACAACCCGUGGUUUGAUGAAUAUUCCUAUAAAAAAAAUAUGGAUAGAGAGCAAAAACCUGUCCGCCCUUUAAAAAAAGUUGAAAUAAAAGUAACUAAAAACAAAGUAAAUAAUAUAUUUCCGGAGUUUCAUAAAGAAGGCUUGAUGUACACAUCUGAUAAUAUGAGUUACAAUUUUAGAAAAGAAUUAGAAAAUAAUAUGUAUAAUAAUUUAAAUGCAUUUAAAAAUAUAAAAAAUAGUUAUGAUGAGGCAAGUAAACAUUUUAUGAAGCCUAAGACACAAAAAGACAUGAACAAUGUAUAUUAUGAUAUACAUGAUGAAACAGUAGAUAUUAGAAUGUUAAAAAAAGAACAUGAAAAAUUGGCAAACGUGAAUAAAUUAAAUAACAUACAGAUGGAUGGUUAUGAUAAUUUUACACAUGGUAAUUAUAAUGACGAUACACAAGUUGAGAAAAAACAAAUAAAUUUUACAAGAUUGAAAAAAAUGGUAGCAAACAAAAAUUCAAAAAAGAAAUUUGGACAUAUUACUGAUUAUACACUAGGUAACGACAAUAGGGACAAUAUAGACUCAGAUAAUAGUAACACAUACAAUAGUGACUCAGGUAAUGAACACUCGGGAAAUAGUGACCUAAACGGCAAUGAUUCAGAUAUAUAUUACAAAGUUAAUUCUGAAAAAAACGCUGAGUUAAUAAAUGAAAAAUUAAAGGUACAAUCAAGCUCCAAUAGGAAUAAUAUUCCAAAAAAAAAAAAAAGCACAAUAUUAAAAAAACUAAAAACAAGUGCUGAUAGAACUAAGGAAGAACAAGAAAAAAAAAUGAAAAUUUUGAAAAAGAAUCAAAAAGAAGGAAUUGGUACGAGUGAAGAGAGUGGCGAUAGUGGCGAUAGUGAUAAGAAUGACGAGAGUGACGAUAGUGGUGAUAGUGAUAAGAAUGACGAGAGU